CUCUGGGUAGCUCAGUUGGAAGAGCGUCAGACUGUAAUGGUUACCUAAUUAUCUGAAUGUCACUGGUUCGAACCCGGUCCCGGAGA
rnacentral:tRNA from 1 species